CUAUGCUAAUCAGCCGCUCACAAGUAACCAGCCGACCGAUUAAAGCAGCACCGUCACGUCACAUUCCACUGAACACAGGUCUUAUUUUAACUUGCGCCCUUUCACGUGCGGCGUCCUACGGGGGACUCCGCGACUGCGCUGCCGUGCCGCGCGCGCGCUCAAUGCUACGUGAAGACAACUUGGCGCUGUCAGCCGACUUUCUAUGCUCGAAUUUUCAAAAUUCGAGUCUGCAGGCUUGUAGAACAGUAUAUGCGGAAUGUUCCAGGACACUAUUUCCUGCGAAAUCGAGCGGAGUUGCCGUAGUCACUACGCUCCUGGCGUCGUCUGCUAGUAUUGAGUCCUGGCAGCCAGUUUCGCAUAGAUUUUGCAGCUCUCUAUGCGAGCCCACUGGUCGACGUGGUCGCAACGAGUGUCACUGAAACUACUGGCGCUGCAGUCGCGUCUUUCGUCAUGCGCCGCGUUUCGUCUGCUCCUGCUACGACGUGUUUGCACCAACUGGCCUGUAGGAGCUUAGGCCGUGUCUGCUGUGCCCGGGGCACAGCAGACGAAAGGUGCCUGAAAUGUCUACGUUCACCUAUGACGUCACGUCCGCUAUAACCCAGGAUGUCACAUCCGCUCAUUUCCAUGACGGCCGUCUUACGCAGCCGGUUGCGCUGCGAAACGGUCCGUAUUCCGUGCCCACUUAGAGCACUGAACAUCCCACGUCUUGGUUUGGCUUCCUGGUACAGGAUACUUGCACUUAGCAUGGAGUGAUGAAGCAAAGCAGUGUACUUUUAUUAAAUGUGCAGAUUUUAGCAGUAUAACAGCAGUUCAUUAAAAAAAAACAUGUGUGCUGAAAAUAAAGUGUUCUUACCCACA